rnacentral:rRNA from 1 species
AGCUGGGAUUUGGAUGAUACACCAGAAACAGAAGAAACAAUUCUCAAAAUUGCGAAAGAGCGAUAUAGAGGCUGGCGAUCAACUCUAAGCUCCACUUACAAGGCAUAAAAAACCGAUGCGAGUAGAUUGGACAAUGUGCCGGAAGAUUUACAACCAGAAGAGUGGGAAUGGAUGAUUGAGUACUUCGGCACUGAUUCAAACUUUCAGGUUAUCUCUAAGCUCACUGUUUAUGAACUGUGUACUAUGAUGAAAUGGCUUGUCUGA